ACRAGRGYMSCMSSCAKAGUUUWGAAUCCUGGCUCAGGACGAACGCUGGCGGCGUGCCUAAUACAUGCAAGUCGAGCGGACAGAUGGGAGCUUGCUCCCUGAUGUUAGCGGCGGACGGGUGAGUAACACGUGGGUAACCUGCCUGUAAGACUGGGAUAACUCCGGGAAACCGGGGCUAAUACCGGAUGGUUGUUUGAACCGCAUGGUUCAAACAUAAAAGGUGGCUUCGGCUACCACUUACAGAUGGACCCGCGGCGCAUUAGCUAGUUGGUGAGGUAACGGCUCACCAAGGCAACGAUGCGUAGCCGACCUGAGAGGGUGAUCGGCCACACUGGGACUGAGACACGGCCCAGACUCCUACGGGAGGCAGCAGUAGGGAAUCUUCCGCAAUGGACGAAAGUCUGACGGAGCAACGCCGCGUGAGUGAUGAAGGUUUUCGGAUCGUAAAGCUCUGUUGUUAGGGAAGAACAAGUACCGUUCGAAUAGGGCGGUACCUUGACGGUACCUAACCAGAAAGCCACGGCUAACUACGUGCCAGCAGCCGCGGUAAUACGUAGGUGGCAAGCGUUGUCCGGAAUUAUUGGGCGUAAAGGGCUCGCAGGCGGUUUCUUAAGUCUGAUGUGAAAGCCCCCGGCUCAACCGGGGAGGGUCAUUGGAAACUGGGGAACUUGAGUGCAGAAGAGGAGAGUGGAAUUCCACGUGUAGCGGUGAAAUGCGUAGAGAUGUGGAGGAACACCAGUGGCGAAGGCGACUCUCUGGUCUGUAACUGACGCUGAGGAGCGAAAGCGUGGGGAGCGAACAGGAUUAGAUACCCUGGUAGUCCACGCCGUAAACGAUGARUGCUAAGUGUUAGGGGGUUUCCGCCCCUUAGUGCUGCAGCUWAACGGCAUUUWAAAGC
rnacentral:rRNA from 1 species